AUUCCCAGGACGUCUCCGUUCCAAGUAC
rnacentral:rRNA from 1 species